CCAUCCCUCCCGCGGCGCUCGGAGCCGAGUCCUGAGCCGCCGCUGCCCUGGCUCGCCGGCCGGGUCGCCUGGGGUGUCGCCGCCCGGGACGGCCUCGCCAGGAGGCUCUGGACUGGGAAGAGCGGGCUCCGCGCUCCGGCUGCGACUGGGGGCUCUGGGACGCGCCCCGCGCUGCGGCUCCCCCGCGCGCCGGGACACUCUGCGCCUCCGCCCCUUCCCUUCCCUUCCCUGACUCGCAGGCCUCCACUUUCCUCCUUUCCUUUCUCCUCCCCUUCCCUCCGCUCCCAGGCCCCCGCCCGCUGCCACUAGGUCAGUUUACUGCGGGGCGGGGCGGGGCAAGCUCCCUGCCGGCCAGCUCCGCCCCACGCAGGACCCGCCGCGACGCCGCGGCCCUAGGGCGCCCAGGUGCAAGUCCCUUCCGGUGGACCCCGGGACUUCGAAAUCGCUGUAUAGGGGCUCCUCGGCUUUCUUUGCAAGCUGUCGCUGCGGGCAGGGGGCGGGACACGCUCCAGUAGGCAAACCGAAAUUACUUCGGGCAAAGGCGGUUGCCAGACUUCGGGAGAGAGAGCAGGUACUGUGGGACCUGGUGGUGGCCAUCGCUUUCUCCCGAAGCUGCCCAGCCAGCCGGCGCUCGAGGUGGCGUCCGCGCGGGUCACCGCAAGACCGCACUCUUAAUAGGGCAGGGAGGACGCCUGGGGAGUGGAGGCGCGCGCAAACUCCACUUUUUACUCUUAAACGUUUUGCCCUCUGCAGGGAUUCAAGGCUGGCCAGGACGCCGCUGUUCUUCGUUUUUCUCAACCUCAAUAUGCUGGCGGCUUCUGUGAACCCAAACUGAUAACGCUCAAAAGCAGACGCUCAGCCUUUCACCGACUCCUUUACCUCUGAGCUACACCUGAAAUUGCCACUAAGGGGUGGGGAGGUGUUCCCCAGAUGGGUCGUGGAAAUGACCGGGUGGGCUCAGGCGGAGCCACGACGAAUGGUCUCUGUAAGCCAUAGGAGGACAGGCAUCUUUCAUAAAGAAAGACAAAAUAACAGUAAAGUACGUAAUACUUACGAAUUGCUGGUGGUGCAGUGAUUAAGAACUCGGCUGCUAACCAAAAGGUCGGCAGUUCUACUCCACCCUCUGCUCCUUGGAAACCCUAUGGGGCAGUACUACUCUGUCCUAUCGCUAUGAGUCAUAACAGCAAUGAGUUUUUGUUGUUUGGUUGGCUGGUUUAUCUAAUGAGCAGAGCACACAGUGAACCAGGCGCUGUUCUAAACGCUUUGCCUAUAUUGAUUUAAUCCUCUUGACAACCCUAUUGUUUGUUACCCAGAACAAGAAACUGAGGCACAGAGGGGUUAACAGAGCUGGGACGCCUUGUCCAAAAUGGCUUACUGAAAACAGAAGCAGGAAAAGUAUUGAGCAAAGAGGUCUGACCUUUGCAUGUCAGGAACCAGUUGGAAGGAUAGCUUUGGGGGAGGGGGGAACAGUCCUAACUGUCCAGCUUAAGGAGUUUGGAUCUUAACCUUUAUUUAUGCCGUCCACCCCAGCCCCCAAACUCUACCAGUGUGAUGUCCCAGUGCCAGACUAAGUAAACAUCCCUGUAGUGUAGUCUGAUGGGGCGGGGGGCGGGUAAAGCUGAAGCAGUCCACAGCAAGCUCCAAAUUUCGCUGAAGGCCGGCAUUUCAUGUGUAAACUGCGUGCAAAUAUCGUUCUACUCCAUAAUAUCCCCAUGUUUGUUCUGAUGUAGAAGCCAUGCUUAUCCCCAUUUCCCCUGAAACUGGUACUGCUUAUCUUGGGACCACGUGAUCUACCCUUCAGGGCAGUCACCUUGGGGUACUCUUAUCCCAGCUUUAAAAGUAGUUAUUACAAUGGAGCCCUGCUGGUGUAGUGGUUAAGAGCUUGGCUGUUAACCAGAAGGUUGGCAGUUUGAAUCCACUGGCCACUCCUUGGAAACCCUAUGGGGUAGUUCUACUCUGUCCUAUAGGGUCCCUAUGAGUUGGAAUCGACUCAGUGGCAACAGGUUUAGUGAAAGAGUUUGAGCUAGGAAGUGGUAUGUGCCAAAUGAUGAUUAAAAAGAUUUGUCUGGCAGGGAUGUAAAGGAUGGAUUAGAUGGAAGCAGGGUUGAGUUUGGAAACUGGGGAAAUAUUGCAUUAAGUACAGUAGUAACUCGUUUUAUCAAGCAUCCUUUCUAAGUUCAAGCGCUGUGGUGUCUGACGGUCUGCGUACCACCUUCCCAUCUCUGUCCCACCUUGUCUCAUACACAACAUAGACCACCAUUUACCUGGACUGAAACUGGACGGUGCUGUGAUUAAACCUGCCCCUCUUCCGACUCUCACCGGGCCCCCUCCUGUCCCACCUGGUGGUUCCUCACCCUCCCCUUCUGCUGCCCAGACUUGCCUUAAGCUACUGAAUCCCCAGUGAUGACAACAUUCUUCCGUGUUCCAUUAUCAUAAAACUAGGUUGGAGAUGCCUUCUCUAAUUCCUCCAAACAUCUGCUUUCUGGUUGGUAUACCUGGUGUGUUUCCUGUCCCAGAACCCUUCAUUCCUCUUAUUAAGCUGGAGGAUGGAGACACCCUUCAAAUGCUUUGACUUCCUUCUAAUCAGCAGUUAGCAUGCACCGAUGGCGUGCACUCAGGCAGGGAGACAGGGCGGUACUUCCCCAUAGUCACUGGGACAGCUUCCUUUGUGGCUGCCACGGGAAUCUCCCGUUUCUGAUCACUGCUGAGCUUCUGAAACUAAGGAGGCUGCUGUUGGAGGGGGAUUGACUGUUGGGGUUUGAGCGUGGAUAGCCAGAGGAAUUUUCUGUUUCACAUUGUUUUAAACUCAGGUUAGUUAAAAAUUUUCUAUCCACGAUUUGGAUUUACUACGAUUUGCUAACUCACUCCCACAGUGAGUUGUCAUAUUGUGCAGUUCAACUUAUAAUCUUCAAAAAUAUUCAAUUCGUAGCUGCAAUUUAAUAUGCAGCAAAAAAAAAAAAUACAGUAGUUCAAGGGAGAAAAAAUAACCAUGCAGUAUCUACCUUGCAAUUUAAUAUACAAGCGAAAAACAAAAAACAAGAGUUCAAGGGAAACCAGACAAACGCUUAGAGUAUUUGCCUUUGUCUAGGUACUACACUAAUUUACUCAGCUUUUAAUAGCUAUGCUUAGGAAUUUGUCACAGUGCAAGGAGUGGCUGGUCCUGGUGGCAGAAUAUUACAAAGUCAUUUUGUAGUAAUUGAUAGGCCUAUGAAAUAUAUCACUUUUUCCUUAAUGUCGAGAUUAACCUUGUAUUUUUUUAUCUUAUUUUUUGCUAUUGUUGUUGAGAAUAUACACAGCAGACCCUGUACCCAUUGAACAACUUCUUCAUGUACAAUUCAGUGACAUUGAUUACAUUCUUCUAGUUGUACAACCACUCUCACCCUUCUUUUCCUGGUUGUUCCUCCCCAACGUAAACUCACUGCGGGCUAAGUUUCCUAUCUAACCUUCCAAGUUGCUGUUGUCGGUUUGAUCCCAUAUAGAUAGUCCUUUAAAACUAACUUUUUGUUUUUAAAAAUACCAAAUUAAAUUCCCUUUUUUAUAGGAAAAUAUUCUGCCAUAGGCUUUUCGCCCUCUGUGUUCCAUGGUCCUAGGUAGGAAAAAACUAAACCCCCUGCCAGCUUUCAGAGUUUACAGCUACUACAGGACUGCUGGAAGAAGACCAGAAGGCAAGGUCCAGAUAAUGGAUCAACACAGGAGACAGGCAGAUGAGGACCCAGGCGAGCACGGUGGAAUCUUUGUUGGUGAAAAUAGCAUGUUAUGUUAACUGGCAUAUAGUACCCAUUGCCAUCGAGUCAAUUCCAACUUACAGCAGUCGUAUAGGACAGCGUAGAACUGCCCAUACAGUUUCCAAGGAGUGGCUGGUGGAUUUGAACUGCUGACUUUUUGAUUAGCAGCCAAGCUCUUAACCACUGUGCCACUGGGGUUCCCUUUGUAAUUCUUGUUUGUUUUUAGGUUAAGUAUGCACACUGUGGUUAUUCUAAGCAAGAAGUGGGUGGAAUUUUACAUAGAGAGAUGGAAUACAAAAUUGAUCUUUACAGACAUUUUCAACCUAAAGGGAAGGUGUUUCUGCUUGUGGUUAUUGUUUUUUAAUGGACGAAAUCUAACUAACUUAUAGAACUAUCUUCUCUCUCUGAAGCUGGUGAGAAAAACACACACAAGCAUUUUAAACUUAUUUAGAAAGUAGCUUAGUAAAUAAGUUGUGUGUUUGCAAUCUCUCUGUCCAUAUAAUUGUCAACUCUGAAAAUACUCGUUAUUAUAUCUUUCUGAGAACAAUUUUUCAAAAGUUCAUUUUGAAAACAUUUGCACGAUUAUAUAGUCCAGAGGGAACAUACAUUUUCAAGCUUUUCUGAGCUAUUUUAAAACAAUAUCCAUUAAUAAAAUUACAAAAAAGGUUGUUUUUUUUUUUUUUGAUUAAUUUUCACAUGUUGGUUUUCUUUUUUAGGAAACUUUUCUUUAAAAUUGUCUGCAGGGUUCAGCCCGAGAAGAAACUGCUGCAAUUUUUAUCUAAAUGCCCCUUUUCAACUGUAAUAAAGUGAUCACAAUUGGUUUGUUACCUUAGGGGUUAUGUCACAGCCCCUAAAGGACAUAGAUUCUUCUCCAGUUAUUUCAUUAAAAAGCACAGUAAAUGAAUAAAAACAAACAAAAAACACCCAAAAACAUUGCCAUUAAGUCUAUCCUGACUCAUAGGGUUUCCGAGGCUGUGAUGUCAUGGAAGCAGACUGCCGCCAUCUUUCUCCUGCAGAGACGCUGAGACUUCUUGAAUACUGCCAGCAACACGGUGAGCAGGAGAUGGGGAAAUACACACAGGACAGGUAUGGUCCACACAGAUGGAAUCAAGAGGGCGCUGAACCCCACAGCCACAAGCAAGGACAGAGAUAUCUGAGGACCAGAAGGAAGAAGCCAACAACUUGGGAAUGUUCUUGAAAGCUGAGCCAGCAUUCUCCCUCCCCAACCUCAUUACCUGUUUCUUAUAUCACUUUCACGUCCACUCCACUCCCUUCCUUAGCCGCCUCCCUUCUUGCUUCUUUUCUCUAUCUUGUCUUAGAUCUAACAGUGACCCUUAAGAUAGGGCCUAGCUAAGGGCUCAGCAAUAUUUCCAACUUGGGCCAAGCUUCUGGGGGGAUGCUUUGGGGUAGGUGGGGGCUGAAGACUGAGCCCCUGCCAGAGGACCAAGGUUUGCCAAGAGUUACCAUCAGCCGCCAUCCCAACUUUGGCCUGGAUGCAGGGGCUGCUGCCAGCUUGGUAGACUAUGGCUUCUCAUAUUCAAUUUCUAGAGGAGGAGAACUAGAAAUCUGAACCCAGAAUCAGGAUUGGGUUCCAGUCCUCAAUACCAUCAACUAGCUGAGCCUGCCCCUCCUGGACCUGUUCCUUCAUUUGCAAAGCAAAGGGGCUGGUCCCUGCCAGAGUAUGCUCUGUAAUUACUACUUGUGAAGUCAAACAUGUUUGGCACUUGGCUGUGGGCUCUGGUUUACAUAAACUGUUCUACCAACUAAAAAUUGCCCUUCUUCCAAAAAGCCCUUUAACAGAUGAUGUAGUGUCUGUUUGAACAUGUUCUCUAAGUGGGAGGACUGUGAGGUCCUAUCCUGAGGAUGGACUCUGAGAAUGAUGACUUCUCUAUAAAAUGAUGUCCCAAGGAGCCUCCAUUAGCUCCCCAGAUAAUCUACUCUCUUUAAUCGUCAGUCUCAGCAAAUUCUGCAUUCCAUAUAAACCAAGCUCAUUCUUUGAUAGUUUCUUCUCCCAGCUUCAGGGGAGAUGGGUAGCAGCAGGUCACUGUCCCCUCCAGCAUUUCAGAGACCAUAAAAUAAAGCAUGAUACCUGUAGUGCCCACCAGAGAGGUUCUUAGGUUCAGCUCAACGUUCAGACUCACAAGACUUCCAGGGACCAUACUUGGCUUUAAAAAACCCAUUGCCUUCAAAUUGAUUCCAACUCAUAGCUUUAGUCAACUCAAAAAAAAAAAAAAAAAUGUGAGGCUCCUCCUCA